GUGAGGAAUUUUGCGCAAUGGCCGCAAGGCUGACGCAGCAACGCCGCGUGGGUGAUGAAGGCCUUCGGGUCGUAAAGCCCUGUCAGGUGGGAAGAAAGGCCUGGAGAGGAAAGGUUUCAGGUUUGACGGUACCACCAGAGGAAGCACCGGCUAACUCCGUGCCAGCAGCCGCGGUAAUACGGAGGGUGCGAGCGUUAUUCGGAAUUACUGGGCGUAAAGCGCGUGUAGGCGGGGGGACAAGUCUGAUGUGAAAGCCCUGGGCUUAACCUGGGAAGCGCAUUGGAAACUGUUUUUCUUGAGUACUGGAGAGGAAGGGGGAAUUCCCGGUGUAGAGGUGAAAUUCGUAGAGAUCGGGAGGAAUACCAGUGGCGUAGGCGCCCUUCUGGACGGUAACUGACGCUGAGACGCGAAAGCGUGGGGAGCAAACAGGAUUAGAUACCCUUGUAGUCC
rnacentral:rRNA from 1 species